UCCCCUAGUAACGGCGAGUGAAGCGGGAAGAGCUCGCGGUGAAAAUCGAGCCCUCGGGCCCGAAUUGUAGUCUGAAGAGGCGAGGCCUGCCACUGUCCGUGGCCAAGUCUGAUUGGAAAUGAGCAUCAUGGAGGGUGACAAUCCCGUUCAUGUCGCGGUAUCGAUCAGUGCGCAGAAGGCCCGUUUUCUACGAGUCGAGUUGCUUGGGAUUGCAGCUCAAAGCGGGUGGUAAACUCCAUCGAAAGCUAAAUAUGGGGGGGAGACCGAUAGCGAACAAGUACCGUGAGGGAAAGAUGCAAAGAACUUUGAAAAGAGAGUUAAAGAGUGCCUGAAAUUGCUGGAAGGGAAGCGAAGGAAAGAGGUGUGCGGUAGUCGGAGCGCCAACCCCCAUCUGCCUUCGUGGUGUGGGGGUAGGCCGCUUCGCCGCGGUCAGGGGUAGCGCUUGGGUCGCGUGAGGAUCCGUGCGGGAUCGGUAGCCCUCCCCUCUCGGGGAGGGUGUCAGGCCUGCACGGCACCGCGUCGCGGCUUCCCGGCCCCCUUUUCUGGCGGUUGCCGCUUUUCUUCACCCCGUCUUGAAACACGGACCAAGGAGUCUAGCGUGGACGCGAGUAUAGGGGCGUGGAAACCCCCUUGCGCAGUGAAGGUGAACGCAGGUGGGAGGUCGCCCUCUGGGCGGCCGGCACCAUCGACCGAGCGUGUCCCCCCGGGGGCAGGGCUUGAGUGUGAGCGUGCAUGCUGGGACCCGAAAGAUGGUGAACUAUGCUUGAAUAGGNCGAAGCCAGGGGAAACUCUGGUGGANGC
rnacentral:rRNA from 1 species